UACGUAGGGGGCAAGCGUUGUCCGGAAUCAUUGGGCGUAAAGCGCGCGUAGGCGGCCCGGUAAGUCCGCUCUGAAAGUCCAGGGCUCAACCCUGGAAUGCCGGUGGAUACUGUCGGGCUCGAGUCCGGAAGAGGAGUGUGGAAUUCCUGGUGUAGCGGUGAAAUGCGCAGAUAUCAGGAAGAACAUCGGUGGCGAAAGCGCUCUGCUGGACUGCAACUGACACUCAGGGACGAAAGCUAGGGGAGCGAAUGGG
rnacentral:rRNA from 1 species